UGUGUCUGAGCCUCCUUUUCUCCAGGCUAAACAACCCCCCUUCCCUCAGCUGCUCCUUGUAUGACUUGUGCUCCAGACCCUUCACCCGUUCUGCUGUCCCUCUCUGGACCUGCUCCAGCACCUCACUGUCUUGUAGUGAGAGGCCCAAAACUGAGCAUGAGAUUUGAAGUGUGGCCUCUCCAGAGCUCAGUGGAAGGCGAUGAUCACUCCCCUUGUCCUGCUGGCCACGCUGUUUCUGCUACAGGCCAGGAUGCCAUUGCCUUCUUGGCCAGCUGAGCAUACAAUGGCUUGGGUUCAGCUGCUGUUGAGCAACACCCCCAGGUCCUUUCCAGCCACCCUUCCACAAGCCUGUAGCACUGCAUGGGACUGUUGUGACCCAAGUGCAGGACUCCGUACUUGGCCAUGCUGAGCCUCAGCCCAGAUCCCUCUGCAGAGCCUUCCUGCCCUCCAGCAGAUCAACAUUCCUUCCCAACUUAAUGUCAUCAGCAAACUGACUGGAGGUGCACUCAAUCCCCUUGUUCAGAUCAUCAGUAAAGACAUUAAACAGGGCCGAUCGCAGUACUGAGCCCCGAGGGACACUAGUGACUGGCCGAUGGUCAACAGCAGUGGCAGCCUGGCUGUGUCUGGCUGCCUGGUGCUGGGCAGGAGGUGCUCCUUGCAUGAGCUCAGCUGGGCAUGCCUCUGCCAAAAAUGACUGCAAAGAUGUUGGAAAUGCUGAAAGAUUUUGCUUGCUGUGGAGUCUUUGUUGCUGAGGCUGAAAUAGCUGUAAAAGGCAGAGCAGGAGACAGGGAGGGAGAAGAGGGGCAGGCUAAGCCCAGAGUCCAUCAAUGCUGCUUGGGGGCCCUGCAGUCCUGUUGGGGAUGGAGGCUGGCUGGAGGUGCUGAAAGGAGAAAAGGAGGUAAGGGCAUGUGUACUGUGUCUGAUCCACCGUUCCUCCAGAAGCUGGCCAUUCCAUCUCCUCCCAUCGCUGUCCUGCAAGUGCAGCGAUAGGUAACACAGGAUUAAAGGAAGUACAGGAGCUGAUGACUUUUCUGGUUGUGUCUUCAUAGCAUUUAGAGUACUACCUGACCUCCAAAGAUUCCAGUAGGUAAGAAAAAAAGGAUGAAAUUUUCUGGAUAAUAGUUUCUUUGCAGCAAUGUAAGCUGGUCUUGGCUGCUGCUGUGUUAAUGGUGCCUUAAAGAAAACUAUCAGCAGGCUAAUGGCAGCUUUGAAAACAAAAACUUGCCCUGCUUCAUCCUAUUAAUAUCCAAAGAGAUGAACUUUUCCAAUCCUAAUGAUCCAUUUAACUGCCAGGAUUAAACACAUCUCAAGAAAAAUUACGUACAAUUAAAAAGGAAGAAGCCUGUUAAUGUAACAUUGAGGCUGUGGGAUUGAGGACAGUCAAGCAACUGGAAGAGAGAUCUUUAAAACUGA
rnacentral:lncRNA from 1 species